CACAAUUGUAAAGGAAAAGGUUUGUGAAAAUUGAAUAAGUUAAAAUUAAGAACUUUAGUUCCUCAAAGAAGCUACAAAAAUAAUUAAAACAAGGUAAGCCGCAAUCAGGGGUAAGAUAUUUACGUCAGAUUAAGGCAGAAUAUGUCAGAUUAUUUAUGAUAGUGCCUACAAUGUAGUUAAGUUCUACAUUCAGUGUAUGAGAAAUGCAUAAACAAAUGAAUAAGUGAAUGAGAGAAGGUAUGCAUGCAUGCUUUAUGUAGUGGUGAUUAAGUGCCCUAAAUAAGCAGUUGCUUACACUUAGUUUAAGAUUGUGCUUGAUGCCUUUCAUGUUGAAUGGCUUACAUGUUUCCCUUUGACUCUGGGCACAAAGUGAAGUUAUCUGGUAGUUAAAAAUAUCUCAUAAAAUUAGUUCCCUAGAGACUAGGGGAUUAUUUUUAUUUCUUCAGUGUAUAGCCUUGGAAUCAACUGGUAAAGCCACAUUUUACUUCUAUUUUGUAGAAGAAAAGCAUUCCCAUCUCGAAGAGUCAGGAUGCACAUAAGAAAGGAAGGAUGAGCAAGAAUGUGGAGGAUUUUUCAUCUCUUCAUUUUUCCUAACCCGCAUGGACAGAAGAGAGAAGACUGUUGCAAGGCCAAGAAACUUGCAAAACAAGCCUACUUGCAUUUGCUGAGCAUAUCUAUAUGUUUAAUUAGGGAAGGAACAGGACAACAAAGGAGGACAACUAAAGCAUACUAUUGUUUUUAUUUUAUUUUAUUUUAUUUUUAUUGUUGUGAAUAGAGUCUCACUCUGUCACCUAGACUGAAGUGCAGUGGAGCCAUCAUGGCUCACUGCAGUCUCAACCUCCUGGGCUCAAGCACUCCUACCGCCUCAGCCUCCUGCCUCAGCCUCCUGAGUUCCUAGGACCACAGGACAUGUGCAUACACAUGUGCCACCAUACUCAGCUAAUUAAAAAAAAAAUUGUAGAUUGUAGAGACAGGGCCUUACUAUGUUACCCAGGUUGGUCUUGAACUCCUGGCCUCGCGUGAUCUUCCUACCUCAGCCUCCCAAAGUGUUGAGUUUAUAGGCGUUAGCCACUGCACCCAGCCAAGCACACUAUUUUUAAAGAUCAGUUUCUACCAUGUGGAAUGCAUGAUAAGGUAUAUUGAAUUGCACGUUCUUGGAAAUUAUCUCUAAACACACAGCUUCUUUUUAUAAAUAUUUUUAUAUUUUUGGAUUAUAAUAGUAAUUUUAAACGCUGUUUGGUGUUUACUCUUCUGCUAAGCAUAAAGGUUUUUUUUUUUUCAGUCGAAAGUACUAAUUAAUAGUAUGGCAAGUGCCACCAGAUAAUGAUGGCAGAUGGCAGUCACAGGCUAUGGUAGCUAUGGACCCAUAAGGUCUUUAGUCACAUCACUCACUGAUACACCUGUAACUCAACACUUCAAUUCUAAACCAAUGUUGAAAAUAGAAACUCAUUCUGAAAAGAUAUGGCAUAUGCAGAAGGUAGAAUUCUAAGAUGGUCCCCAAGAUUCCUUCCUCUUGCACACACCAUUUAUCAUCCCCUCCCAUUGAGUAUGGACAGGUAUAUAAUAUGAUGGAUUUUACUGCCAUGAUUAAGUGAUAUUACCCGACAAAGAUGAAGGAAUGUUGUGGAUGUAAUCUCAAAUCAGUUGAUUUUGAGUCAAAAUGAAAAUUAUCCUGGAUGGCCUAACUUAAUCAGGUGAGUUAUUCAAAAGAGAAAGAUAUUUGAAAUGAAAAAAAUUCUCCUGGUUGUUCUGAAGAAGACAGCCAUCCAGGCUGUGAGAGAAAUACAUGGCCAUCUCCUGAGGGCAGCCUCUAGAAGCUGAGGCCAGCACAAAACAAAACAAAACAAACAGACAAACAAAUAAAACAGGGAUCUCCAUCCUAUAACCACAAGGGAGUUAAUUCUGCCAAGGACCAGAAUGAACUUGGAAGGGGACUCCAAGCUCCUGAUAAGACCACAGCCCCAGCUGAAGCCUAGAGACCUAGAGAGACCCUGAGCAGAG
rnacentral:lncRNA from 1 species